rnacentral:rRNA from 1 species
GACGAACGCUGGCGGCGUGCUUAACACAUGCAAGUCGAACGGAAAGGCCCUGCUUUUGUGGGGUGCUCGAGUGGCGAACGGGUGAGUAACACGUGAGUAACCUGCCCUUGACUUUGGGAUAACUUCAGGAAACUGGGGCUAAUACCGGAUAGGAGCUCCUGCUGCAUGGUGGGGGUUGGAAAGUUUCGGCGGUUGUGGAUGGACUCGCGGCUUAUCAGCUUGUUGGUGGGGUAGUGGCUUACCAAGGCUUUGACGGGUAGCCGGCCUGAGAGGGUGACCGGCCACAUUGGGACUGAGAUACGGCCCAGACUACUACGGGAGGCAGCAGUGGAGAAUAUUGCACAAUGGGCGGAAGCCUGAUGCAGCAACGCAGCGUGCGGGAUGACGGCCUUCGGGUUGUAAACCGCUUUCGCCUGUGACGAAGCGUGAGUGACGGUAAUGGGUAAAGAAGCACCGGCUAACUACGUG